UACAGAGGGUGCAAGCGUUGCUCGGAAUCAUUGGGCGUAAAGGGUAGGUAGGUGGUCUCAUUUGUCUGGGGUGAAAGCCCAGGGCUUAACCCUGGAAGUGCCCCGGAAACGGUGAGACUGGAGUCUUGGAGAGGGUCGUGGAAUUCCCGGUGUAGUGGUGAAAUGCGUAGAUAUCGGGAGGAACACCAGUGGCGAAGGCGACUACCUGGCCUGUUCUUGGCGCUGAGGCGCGAAAGCUAGGGGAGCAAACGGG
rnacentral:rRNA from 1 species